CGUUCCACUGAGCAAGUGACUCGAGAGCGUUUUUCUCCAUAAAUCUUGCAUUUCGGUAAAAAAAAUUGAAUGUUCAGCUUUUUCAAGUGUAUAUUCAUAGGAUACAAUGUGUCACUGUCAUAGUGAGAGUUGUUAUGGAAAAUAAUACGUGAAAAAACGACAUCGGUGCUGCAGAUCGACCAUAACAUGGUUUAGAAUGGAAAAUCUACUGUUUGCCUUUCAAGUUACAUAGCUUUGGGUUUACAGACUAAAAGUUUUAGUGAAAUGUUGACAGUAUACCUAUCCCUACCUAAGCUAUAGCAUGAGAAUGGACUUGAUGGCAUGGAAUGAUGAAAAGAUACCAGUUAGACAAAGCAGAAGAUUCCCGAAUUUCAUAUCAGCUGACAAUAAGGGAAGAGGUGUUCUAGUCAAGACCAGGGAAAAUUUAUUUCCAUACGAUUUUGUGUGAUGGUGCUGUUGAUGCAGGUGUGACUGAACAAGAGAUGGUGUUUUGUAGAGUCUUGGAUACUGUUUUACCCUAGAAACCUUUCUCAUAGCAGACACGUUCUGGAACAAUACUUUCUUUAAGUAUUAACAUUUGACCUAAAAGACUUCCACUGAGAGUGGCCUGCAUUUAAAGAGCACAUAGGUGGCAUGUUUAUAGUGAAAAAAAGUAAAGAUAUGUGUAUGGGUUUGUUUCAAGGCUAGGA